rnacentral:rRNA from 1 species
UCGAUUCUGGCUCCAGAUUGAACGCUGGCGGGAUCUUUUACGGCGCGUACAAGUCGAACGGCAGCACGGACUUCGGUCUGGUGGCGAGUGGCGAACGGGUGAGUAAUGUAUCGGAACGUGCCUGUAGUAGCGGGGGAUAGCACGCGAAAGCGUAGCUAAUACCGCAUGCGCCCUUCGGGGAAAAGCAGGGGACCUUCGGGCUCUUGCCUAAUGAAACGACCGAUAUCUGAUUAGCUAGUUGGUGGGGUAACGGCUCACAGGCGACGAUCCGUAGCUGGUUUGAGAGGACGACCCGGCCCACACUGGGACUGAGACGCGGCCCAGACUCCUACGGGAGGCGGCGGUGGGGAAUUUGGACAAUGGGGAAACCUGAUCAGCCCAUCCCCGCGUGUGCGAUGAAGGCCUUCCGGGUUGUAAAGCACUUUUGGCAGGAAAAAAACGGCACGGGAUAAUGCCCGUGCAACUGACAGUACCUGCAGAAUAAGCACCGGCUAACUAUGCAGCAGCCGCGGUAAUACGUAGGGUGCAAGCGUUAAUCGGAAUUACUGGGCGUAAGCGUGCGCAGGCGGUUCCGGAAAGAAAGAUGUGAAAUCCCGAGCUUAACUUUGGAACUGCAUUUUAACUACGAGGCUAGAGUGUGUCAGAGGAGGUGGAGUCCGCGUGUAGCAGUGAAAUGCGUAGAUAUGCCAGGAGGGAACACCGAUGGCGAAGGCAGCCUCCUGGGAUAUACUGACGCUCAUGCACGAAAGCGUGGGGGCAAACAGGAUUAGAUACCUGGUAGUCCCACGCCCCUGACGAUGUCAGCUGGCUGUUAGGGCCUUCCGGGCCUUGGUAGCGCAGCUAACGCGUGAAGUGGAAAGCGCCUGGGGAGUACGGUCGCAAGAUUAAAAACUCAAGGAAUUGACGGGGAUGCCACGGCGAAGGUGGAUGAUGUGGAUUAAUUCGAUGCAACGCGAAAAACCUUACCACCCUUGACAUGUCUGAAUCCCGAAAGAUUUGGGAGUGCUCGCAAGAAGACCGGAACACAGGUGCUGCAUGGCUGUCGUCAGCUCGUGUCGUGAGAUGUUGGGUUAAGUCCCGCAACGAGCGCAACCGCCCGUCAGUAGUUGCUACGAAAGGGCACUCUAAUGAGACUGCCGGUGACAAACCGGGGAAGGUGGGGAUGACGUCAGUCCUCCAUGGCCCUUAUGGGUAGGGCUUCACACGUCAUACAAUGGUCAGGACAGAGGGUGCCAGCCGCGCGAGGGGGAGCCAGUCCGGGCUCGAUCGUAGUCCGGAUCGCAGUCUGCAACUCGACUGCGUGAAGUCGGAAUCGCUGACAAUCGCGGAUCAGCAUGCUCGCGGUGAAUACGUUCGGGUCUUGUACACACCGCCCGUCACACCAUGGGAGUGGGUUUUACCAGAAGUAGUUAGCCUAACCGUAAGGAGGGCGAUUACCACGGUAGGGAUUGUGACUGGGGUGAAGUCGUAACAAAGGUAG